GGGAGGAUUCAUUAUGUGACAGCUCCAGCUGCUGCCACAUCGUCAUUGCUGAUUGUGGACACCAAGGGGAGAUGCAGUGCUUUAAGCUCUCAGGGGCCACCGUACCAAGGGCCUUCUCUGUUUUGGCCCCCACUCUUUGGAGCAACAUCCCUGAGGAGAUUAGACCGCGAUGAAAACAUAGAAGGUCUUCACCCGUCCUCCUCCUCCAGUAUCCUUUGAGAAUGUAGAUCUGUUAUUGCCAGCAAUGGGAACUAGUCCAGCUCUUGGCAAAUGUCUUUUGGGAGAGAUGGAGGCGAGAAAUAAAAUAAAUAAAUCAUAAUUUAAGACCUGCCAUUUUGUCUUGAGAUUUUGCACAAGUUGCAACUCGUCCUGUU